UAUAUAUAACUGCUGAUUCCUUAACCUAGCUGAAUCCUCAACAUUAUCCAGCAUUAAUGUUCAUUUCCUUUUCGUCGGGAGCUGUUUAAUUUGGAAGAUGUAAUUGGUUUAUCUGUGAAAGGACUUCUCAAUAAUCAUACUCUUUUUUACUUGUUUUGUUAUUUUUUUCCCUCUAUAAGCGUAACCUUUGCUUGACAAACAAUAUACCUAAAAUUUCUGUGGUGAUUAUGUAGGGGUUUCCUCCAACAGCUAGCAUUUUGAGUGGACUUCUCAAUAAUAAUAGCUGCAUUCGGAGCCUCACUCUCGACUGCAGUCAGUUAGAUGAUUCCUCCGUCAAGAUUUUUGCGAAAAAGAAUCUGCUCGAGCUCUCUUUGUUGAAAUGUUCAAUGUUCUCUUCUAAUAUUUUCACAGUUAUCGGUGAAAACUGCCCCAUGUUAAGGUAUGCGUCUUAUUUCACCAACAGCAAAUUGUCCCAUGUUAAGGUAUGCGUCUUAUUUCACCAACAGCAAAUUGAAAAUGAACAAUAAUGUAACAGUGAGCCACGAGCUAGUGAAAGAUAACACUCUUAAACCAAAAUUCGCCUGGGAACUUAUGCACACUGAUGUAUUCACGCUCCAACCUCUCUUUAGUAAUAUACUUUGUCAACCAAUCUCAAAUAUAUUAGCUAUCCAACAGUGUAUAUUCGUCUUUAACCUAAUUUAUCUUCCUUUCAAAUGUCUUCUACUGUUGGUUAGACUCAAACUAUAUGCAUGAGAAUACCACAUGAGUCUAUCUUUUCUUUUCCAUCUCAGAUUGUUUUCACUGGAUAUACUUACUUUGGACAUGGAGCCGAACAGUGUAUGUGAAAACACUAUAGCUCGGAUGCUCAAGGGAUUUUUGUAUUUGGAGGUGAAUUUUUUGAUUAUUAGAUCUUUUAAUAUCAAUAAAAGCAUCAUAGGUACUUGCAGUAUGUGGGCCAAGUCUUUUAGUUUUCAAUCUGAUUUAUUUAUGCUUUAUUUGCAGCAUUUGUCAAUAAAGUUCCAGCUAGUACAUCCUGCUUUUGGUUUUUUUGAGUCUUCUCAAUUCGCCCUUCCGAAAACCAUUAAAGUUUUGUUGCUGCAACCUAUACAUGCUAGGCAAGCAAGCCGACUUAUUCUCAACAAUAUAUGCGACACUGAGCCAGUUGCACCCGUUGCAGCUGUUGGUAACUUCUAUUUGGGGACGUCUUGGGGAAGCAAUCUGCAAUCCCUUACGCUUGUACUCAAUAUAAUAUCGGAUCAACUCAUCACCACUAUCACCAAAAAUCUUCACCAUCUGGUCGAACUGUGCCUAGAAGACAAACCAUUUGAGGAGCCCCUUUUGCUUCAUGAUCUGACCAAUAGCGGGCUUCAAUCACUAAGCCUUUGCCAAAACUUGACACGCCUCUCUCUCACGCGCAGUAAAACAUACAUCCCAGCCACUUUCAGAAGGGUGAAUGAUGUUGGUAUUCUUCUUCUCGUUGAAGGAUGUAAAAGGCUCGAAUCAGUGAGGCUCGGCGGAUUCGCCAGAGUGACAGAUGCAGGGUAUGCUGCAGUCCUCCACUCAUGCAAGAGCUUGAAGAAAUUCGAGAUUGUAAAUGCCUCAUUCUUGUCGGACUUGGCAUUUCUUGAUCUAUCUGCAGCUACCUCCCUCGUUGAAGUGAGAUUGGUGUCUUGCAAUCUGAUAACCAGUGAAACUGCACUCUCUCUCUCUACAUGUAGUAAUAUGGAAGUCUUAGACCUUUCUGGGUGCAAAAGUAUUGCAGAUUCUGGCGUGAUUUCGUUCUCGAAGCUUUCUAAGUUGAAUGUAUUGGACCUCGGUGGAUCUGAUAUCACCGAUAUUGGCUUAUCCGCACUUGGUGGCGGGAGCUCACCGAUAUCUUCUUUAUGUUUGAGGGGCUGUAAAAGGAUCACUGAUAGAGGUAUCGCUCAUCUGUUUAAUGGCAAGGGAAUUAUCAGGAAUACGAUAUUGACGCUAGACAUGGGUUACCUGCCUAGAAUAUCAGAUAAAGCUGUUGUUGUAAUUGCAAAGGCUUGUACAGAGAUCACCAUUCUAUGUAUCCGGAAUUGCUUCGGUAUCACUAAUGCAUCAAUAGAAGCUUUGGGUUCGCUGAAUCAUCUUGUUGGGAGAAGAACGAUAAGAAUGCUUGAUGUUUCCAACUGUUGUGGAUUAUCUGUUGAUUCUCUUAUGUUCCUUGCCCCUCCUUUCUUUUGCGGUCUACGCUGGCUUGGUAUUGGGAACACCAGUUUAGCGAGGAAAAGCAAACGCAGAGAUAUGGAACUUUUGGGAGGCAGGGUGGGUUUCAGGUUAUGCAUCGAGGGCUGCGAAAUGGGCUGCAAAAAUGGGUGGUACAGCCACAAAUUUAUAUAGCGUUCGAUAUUCAAGUACUAAAAUACCAGUUCAUGUAAUACUAGGACUAAGCAAUGUGUUAGUCAUUCCUUUUUAUAAGAGUAUUUGGACUAUCAUGCCAAUCUGCAUAUUUCACCAUUUGUUGUUUUGUUUUUUUUCCCUUUUUUUUUUUUCCCAUAUAACCUUCAUUUGCUUUCUGAGGUUGAGUAGUAUUAAGCUCCAAAUAUGAUAGGGUCUCAUUGCUCAUCAAAGUGUCUUGCAAAUUUAUUGUUUUUUAUGCAUCAUUUCAAUUGAGAAACACAAAUAAUAAUUUCCCGGGUGUCUAUUCAUUGUUUAAGAAAAAAAACGUAGCAAUCGCACAACAAUCGAAGAAUAAAAGUCAAUCACUAAAUAAAGAUACAAUAAUACUCUUAAUUUUGGCACAAAAGAGAUAUCAGAAUUCACGUAUUGUGAGAUCAAUCCUCGACCACAGAAAAUGAACUCAACAAAGUUCAACACCAAUGGAUCAACUGUUCUAUACGGUGUGACUGCAACAAAGAAAACAGAAAAAGAAGAGGGGGGGAGCAGAAGACGAGACUCUACAGAAGUGAACUAAUUCAAUUCUUAAGCUAACAAUGCAUCAUAAAAACCACUAUGCAAUUUAUAUGAAAGCCGUUCGGCCUCCUCUUCGGCUGUGCCUGUCAUAGGUUACGUUGAACUUAUCAACCAGCUCGCUCAUCGUACUGCAUAGUUGAGAAAAAAGAACCAGAUAAGCACUUUGAUACAUACACACAUUGGUAAUUAACAGUAGCUUUGGACUUGAAUGUAAGGUAAUCCCUCAUCCAAGAGAGACCACACGACAUUUUAGUUCCUUCGAUAACAUAGAUACUUUAAAUAAGCACCAAUAACAACAACAACAAAGCGGAGGCCACGUGUAUCAGCAUUGCAAGCCAAUCGAAAAGAAAAAUAUGCCAGCUGUGUUGCACUGUUAAAAAGUCCAUAUAGUUGCAGAACUGAAAUAGCUGCAGUAAAUGUUCAAGGUCCCUAAGAAUAGGUGUUCAGAAAUUGUUGGCAUAUUCCUUAUAGAUGAGAGAGAAUAAUCUUUCUCAUCAGUGGCCGCAACCUAAAAUCUCAGUUUUGUAAUUAGAAAGUUCUUUAUGUUUAAAGCAUUCCACCUACCAGGUUUAUUUAUCAUGUUCCAACAAAAGUAAUUGGAUCCCCUAUGCAUUACACAGUUGAUGACAUCUCUCUUCUCUUCCAUUCAACCAGUUCCUCAAAAUGACCCUUAAGUGAACAACAAGAGAUGUGACGAAUAAAAUUCGAAGAGGCCCUUCAGUUCACCAGUCAGCAGACUAGCUUAGCAUUAUCUUUUUAUCAUCAAUAAGCAUGCCCAGAAAUACAUCUUCCACCAGAUAUAUUUCUCUUACACGAGGUUUAACAAACACAAACUUUAAUGGUCAAGAUAGCCUUAUUAAGAUGACCCCCAGAUAUGCUUCUUUCUUUUUUCCUUGUAAUUUCAUGGUAGUGUAAGGGUUUUACAUACCUGGAACAGUUGGUUAACAUGGCAAGAUAAGUCAUCAGAAGUGUGUCAUUAAAUUCCUACAAGAAAGAGUAGACAUCAUCAUUCAUUAAGGCCUAGAAGAAAAGGCAAUAAUACCAUAUUUUGUUUACUGUUAAAAUAGGUAUUUUACUCAUGUAACCAUAUAAGAUGCUUCGUCUUAUUCUCGAAUAAGUUGGAGUAAUACUCCAGUUAGAAGAUAAACCAGAUCUUUCUAAAGCAGCAUGAUCCACGAAAAUAAAACCUGGAGUCAAAAAGCAGCAAAUAAAUAAUGCAUUUAACACACCGUAAGAAACUCAUCCUGAAAUUUCUCAGACUCCAUGGCUGGCAAUCUCCUCAAAAGGCUUGAAACUUGCCUUAGAAGUGAGUUAUCGCAAGGAAUUUCACCUAUAUGUUAAAAAACAACAGUACUAGUUAAGAAACCAAGCAAGAACAUAAAAGAUUACAUGGUCCAUAUAUUUAAGACAAAAUGCAAUUAAUGGCUUUAUAAAUUCCAAUUUCAAUGGAUGGUUUCUCAAUGAAAUCUUUGAUGUUUCAUAUAAAAGAUAGACCUAUGAAUUUCUAUGAUGAAACCACAGGCCUUGUCACUCAACAAAGGAUCCACUAGUCAAAUAUGUAUAAGAUGGGACAAGAACAAUAAUGAGUGAUAUAAGAAAGUUCAUAGUAUAUAUUAACACAUUACAGCAAAAACAACAGUCAAAAAUCGAAAGAAACUGAUAGAAAAUUGAAAUGGCAAAAAAUGUACCUCUUUGCAUGGCAAGAAGAUGUUGAUGAACUAUUUUGAUCCUGCUAUUUAGCAUCUUGAUGGCACUAUGGAUGCUAGUAAGAUGAGCUGCCACUACUCACAAACACAUUUGUCGGUUUUCAUCAAUCAACAAAAUAAGAUAAAAGACGACAAUAGCAAAGUCUUACAUUGAGUUGCAGCUGAGCCCCCAUCAGAUGGUUUAAGAUGUGCUACAUGAUCAACUGAAAUUCUCUCUGCCUCUACAGUCUUUAAUUAAAACAAGAACCAAAAGAGACACAUUCAUCUUAACUGUAUAUGAUAGUUUUCCAACAGAAGUGAAUGAAUAGAGAAGCCUAACCUCAAUUGUGUAAUUUGCUCGGACAAAGAUGAGUUGUGGAAUCCCAUCAAUGACAUGCAACUCUUGAGAAGUUACAACAUAAUUCAAAUUUGCAAGAGCAGACAGUAUCAUAUUGUAAGUUGUAAUAAAAAACAAAGAUAUUCUACAUAAAUAGUUGUAAAAGUUAGAAGAUUAAACAGUAUGAUUGCUAGCAUAAGUGAAAGGAACAAUGCACCAGUCAAAUACAGUUGAUGGACAAAUACACACAAAACAAAUGCAGCUAACAUCACUAUUAGUCCACCGUGUAUAAUGGUAACAACUAUCGUGCUACUCAGCAUUUAGAACAUUGUUUAGUAAUCAUAGAAACAAUCCUAGGAAGACUAUUGUACCAAAAAGAUUAAUGGUUCUAGACGCUUGAUGCAACAGUUUCUACAGCCAACAAAUCCCUAAUAUCGUAUUAUCGAAAAUAAAAUAAACAACUAGCCGUGGGAAAAUGAAUUAAAGCAGAUUCAAAGUGCGGGCUCACGUACCACUUUCAUAGAUAGUCACAGGUAGGUCUUUUUGCGAGUGGUUGAUGGAAGGAUUCAACACAACAUAAACCGGGCUUUCAUUUAUAUCCAUCAGCUGUUUGAAAUUGUGAUAACAAAAUAUACAAGAUUAAAAACAUACCAAUACAAAAACCUUAACGAUAUAGCGAAAAAACGAAAGGGAAUUAGAUUAUUAGCAUCAUGCAACAACCAAAAAGCCAUACUUCCAAGCAAAUUCUUCUCCAUUCAGUCAUAUCUUGGGCAAUCUCCUCGUGGAAAAUAGGAUUCGCCAUACCUUUUCUCUUUGUGACUUAGAGGGACAUGAGUUACAUCAUGCACUUUGACAGUACAUGAGCCAUACCAUGUUGCAAAAGUUCAUAAGGCCAUUUCUAUAAUAUUUUCAUGUUAAAUUCUAAAUUUUGUUUGGCCUUAACUUUGAUAGUGUUGCCUAUUGAAUGCGUUGCUUCUUACUAUUAAAGGCAUCUAAAAUAAAUCCACCUAUUCCUCAUGAAGGGGUGCCAUUAUUAUGCCCCGUCGAGCAUUUUGGAAAAUUACAUGUCCAGAUGUUACCGAUCCCCAGGCCAACGACCAUCAUUUCUUGCUUUCUAUAUGACCAUCCAUUGAAUAAAUGGUCUAAGUUUAUGCAUAUAUUAAAUCAGCAACAAUCUAGCUCCGUAUAGAAUAGAUGAUGAAGCAUAAGGGAAGUUGGUCUGGACGAUAGUAAUACAUACUUGAAUUACUACCAAACUUCACAAAAUUAUGCACGGCACGUUAUGCAAGUAUUCGCAGGACAUCAACUAAGACUUAGCAAGAUACUAGUAUAAUCAACAAAUCAAAAUAUAUUACCAUCAACUUCACAAACUUAGUUAUGUCCCAGUUAACACUCUUAAAUAAAGGCAUUGUAUCAACAAUGUCCAAACUUACAGCUCUGUGGAUCUGCAUAUCCGACUCCUGUGCAUCAGUCCCCGUUGAAUACCACCCCAAUAUGUAGUAGUUCGGGAAAACCUUUUUAUCUGCAUCAAAGCACCCAAGGAUCACCAAUCAACAGCACAGAAAGAAAGAAAUAUGAAUUGACAAAAUAAACCAAAUUCUGGCAUAAAAGAAAGAUGUCAAUAAAGAACAAACCCUAAUUUCUAACCAUUAAACCUCAAUCUUUUAGAAUCCAUCGUAACAGUACGAAGACCGAAACCCUAGAUAAGGGAACAAGAUCGAGAAGUGGAAACCCUAGAGAGAGUGAGGUAUAUACAGAGUUCUUGUUUCUUCUCGAGGAAGCAGCGAUCGAGGGUGUGGGAGUGGGGGUCGUAUAGGAGCUCGAAGCUGUUGAAGAUCUCGACGGUGCGGCCGCGCUGGACGCCGAUGACGCACCCGAAGACGCGCGGCAGAGGAGGCAGUGCUGCGGCGGCGGUCGCGGCGUCGCCGCCGUUGGCGGCGGCGGAAGAGGCUGAGGCGGAGGAGAGGUGCUGGUUCUGGGCCUUGACGCGGGUGUGGUGGUCGGAGAUGUUGAGGAUCACGAGAGGGUGGAGCUUGAAGGUAAGCCCACUGCUUGAGGACGACGCCAUGGCGAAGGGGAAGGGGGAAGGGGGGAGAGAGAGAGAGAGAGAGAGAGAGAGAGAGAGGAGCUCUACGGAACGGAGCAGUUCGAGGUGGAGAUGGGCUUCGGCGUAGAGGUUGUACACGGAGAGCUUCGUGUGUGUGUGCAUAUAUAUAUAACCGCUACACGGACUUAAGGACUAGAUCCGGCAUCGCCCCAUACUUCGUCGCCGACUUCAAAGGGUGAAACCGGAAAACGGUGCCGUAAUUUUUUUUAGAAAGAUUGCAAAUUUUAUAAGAAAUAAUAUUCUUUCGAUGAUCUUAGUUAUAAAGCCGUAAAAAGUAAAUAAACUCAAAUUAAAAUUUAAUAGUCAAAAUGUAUGAAUGAAAAAAAAAAAUAAUUUUGACAGUUCAUAUAGAUUAACUUUUUUUCAAUUAUUAUUAUUAUUAUUAUUAUUAUUAUUUUCCUCCGCAUUCAGAGAGACGACCCAUCGACCACGAGCUUGGUGGGCCCCGUUAAUAAAACAAGUCGAGAAGGGUGAGGUCACCGGGGCUGUAUUGUACGCAUCGCAACCGCCACGGCCGUAGUCCACCAAAGCGAGCGAGCGAGCGUGGAGGCUCUCCGCUUUAUUAUCUCCUUAAAACCCCGCUCACGGCCCCGAUACCGCGUUCCCUUCCCCCCCACCCCGAAAUUAUAUAAAGCGAGCGACGCGAACUUCAUAGGAGUUCUCGUCGAUUCGAUCGGAAUCGAAGCUUGAGGAGGAGAGAGGAGAGACGAGGAGGAGUACGAGGAGGAGGAGGAGGAGGAGGAGGAGGAGGUGAGGCGGUGGCCAUGGCGAUGCGCGAUCUAGUCACGGGGGGCGCGGCGUGCGCGGUUCCUGGCUCCUCCUCUUCCUCGAACCCCUUCGGUGCCCUCGCCAACGCGAUCCUCGGAUCGUCUUCGAAAACUCAGGUGCGCGUUCAUUUCCCCCAAAAUUUUCUGAUUCAUGCAUGAAUUCUAGCUAGUUUGAUGGAUAUCUUCUUGUUGUUCGUGAUGAUGUUGUAUGAAUUGGAGUGCUCGAGUUCGGAUUAUUUGAAUGAUUCUUUCCAAGAAACCUGUUCACGUGGUUCUGAACGGAUUCUGCUUCUUGAUAGUUGUUUAUUCUUGUUACAGAGCUCGCUCGAGAGGUUAUUUAGGUUUAAUGACCUGGUAGCUAUCGUAGUUUCUGGUUCUGUGAUGUUCUUCAAAGUAGUCGACUUUGGAUAAUCGGAAAAAUUAUUCUUAAGAAGCCUGUUUACAUGACUCUGAACCAAGCCCACUUGGUUCAGAUGAGAAUUCUAGCUGUGGGACUUGUUCGAUCGGAAUACUAGGGUUAAUUCACUGAUAACUAUCUAAUAAUUCUUGGACGUGUCAUGUGUUUUUGAAGUACUUACAAUAAUUGGAAUCAUUCUUGUCAAGAAGCCUGCUUAAUGAUUUAGAAAUAAGGCCACUUCUUGAUAGUUGAAAUUAUCUUGAUGCCCGUGUCUUGUAUUCUCAACUUGAAGUCUAUCCAGAUCCGUGUGAACCUUUCUAUGUUUUCAACUUCUCUUUCUUCAACUUUGGAUCUAGUUCUUGUUUCCCUUUUAUAACACUUUCCCAUAGUGCUUGAUUGUAGUUGAUUACUUUGAUUGCUAUCCUUUCUGGAUGUGAAUGUCUUGUCGCUUAGUAUUUUCACAACUUCUUCAUGUGCUGAACUUACCUGAGAUAACAUGUAGUAUAAAUCAAGUAACAUAUUUUCAUGUCGCUUAGUAUUAUGAUGAUUUUAUCAUCCUAUUGGUUGGACCAGUGCUUUAAUCUAUUUAGUAGUGAAGUUAAAAAGCAGAAAUGACUAGUGUUGAAUCAUGACUCCAUAGUGCAUAAGAAUGGAGUAACCUUCCAACACGUCCAUAAUUGUUAAUUUUCUCAGAUUAUCAACCUAAGGUAAGUCCAGGACAAUGUGCAUUUGUUCACUUUUCCUUUUCUGCAGUAUCUUUUUCGUCCUUUUGCCUGCUUUUCCUUUGAUAACUGCUAUCUUUUGACAGGAACUAAAGGGACUUCCUGGUUCCGCAGUUAAUGUUCCUGAGGCUUCUUCUGACUAUAGGCCUGCAGCUCCACUGACUACCAUUCCAGGGUCAGAAUAUGAGAGCCAACAGGACCAACGACCAGAUGCCCGGGUAAAAUUAUAUUCCAUUUAGGUCCUGCGUAAUAAUUUUUAGCUUUUGUAACUGUAAUCAACUGUCUUCAGACUUCUGAAUUCCUCCAUGGAUUCCAUUCUACGGAUCACGGUGGCCUUGCAGAAGCCUGGGAUGAAAUUCAUCGGUCUCCAGUUUUUCCUCCUGCUCAGUUCAGAGAAAAUGAGGCCCACUUUGAAGAGUUUGAGAGAGUUUAUAAUGCAAAUCCCCUUCAACCCACUUGGGAUGGUAGGUUUCGUGAUAGUACUUUUCCUAUAUAAGUUUUCUUUUUAUUACUAUAAGUGUUAGACAGUUUAAUAUUAUUGUUGAUUCACUAUAAUACCAUGCACUAAGAGCUUGCCCAGAUUGCAACUGGUUUCUUGCGUUUUCUUGUUAACUUGCUGUUUUUUUGCCCUGAGUUAGUGUUCUCUAGGCGGAAUCUGGCCAGAAAUAUUAUCUUUAAUUUUCUGUUGGAGUUUCAUCACAACAUAAGCUUCAAAACAAGUUUAGGAUCUUUGUGCACUGUUUUCUUUUAUAAUAUAACUGUAGAAUUUGUUGGAAGAUGAUCUUUUUUUUACCCUGGAUUCAGGUUUGGAUCUUGAUCAUUUUUUAAGUAGCACAGGGUUUGUUCUUCAACUUUUCUUCUUGACUUGCCCCUUUUUUUUUUUCAGUUCUUUCUUUCUAUCUAAUUAAAAUGCUUCUGUCUUACAAUGUAAUUAAUUAGAAUGUAAAUUUAAUUAUGCAUGUGUGCGUGAACACACCUUUCAAUUCAUGAAUUGAUGCCCAUCUAGUUGGGGGGAUUGAGUAAGACUUGAGCAUCUUAUAUUUUGGAUUCAAUGUGACUUAUGCGAAACCAGCAAUGGGCUAACUGGUUAUGGAAGUUGUUGAGGUUAAGGGGCCUAUAUUUUUAAGAUCAAUAAGCGGAAGGUAGAUACAGGACUUUUCCUGGUGUGCUGGGCUUAUGCCGUCUAGUAAGCAAAACAAUUCACUCAGGGAAAUAUUUGGUGCCCUAGGUUAUUAAAACUAGAAAAACAUUUCAAUAUGUCAGAGGAAUUUUUUGUCCCAAAGGUUAUUGAAACUGCAUGACAAUUUUAUUUGCCAUAUCAAAUGAUGCAGCACAUUUUACAAUUUUUUUUUACAUGUUUAUUAUUUUCAAUAUUGAUGCAUCUUGGUUUUGCAGGUCCACCACAGAGAGUCUUGUCUAGUGUCCUGCAUUCUUUCCUUGGCAGUGAUCAAGCUGGUGUUCCUUUCCGCCCGACUGCACUGCCAGUUCUUGGGUUAUCAGAAGGUGACAAACAAUGCAUACGUGAUCGUAGCUGCAUAAUGGCACGCCACAUUUUUGCUGAUAAGAGUGAAGAGUACAUUCAAUCACAGGUUUUUACCACAAUCUCUCAUGGUUUCCAAUGUCUAUUAUCAUUUAUGUGGCUGCUAAAUAUUAGAUAUUUAUACAGGAAUACUAGUAAAUAGAUGUUUUUUCAGGAAUGUACGUGUAGAAGCCCCUUUUUUUUAAGCAAUCUUAUCAUUUCUUUGUUUCUUUUCCUGUGGAUUGGCCCGUAGAGAUGUGUGUUUCUGUUUUUGUUCUGGUUUGAUAUCUGACAAAUAUCUGUCUCAGGUAAAUGCAUUGCUGCACUCUUUAGAUAUUGAUAGCAAUCAUCAAAUCAGAGGGUCCAUGCAUGGACCUCAUUCAGAAUUGGAGGGAUAUUGGAACGAGUCUCAAGGUGCCAUGAUACCUAGGAUGCCUAAUCCUGUAGAUGGUUGGAUUACAGAAUUUAGCCAACAAAGAGAAAAUGAUAACCCUGCAGCCUGGGCCAAUUCCUUCGAACAAAUGCAUGGUGCUAAUGGCUGGGCUUCUGAAUUUGAGCAGGUCGGUAAUCUUUUAGAUCAUGUCAAAUCACAUUCAUUUCUAUAGACUAGUAUAGAUCAUGCAAUAAGCCGAAUGCUCUUGGUAGAGGUACGUAAACAUUUCUAUUUCUCCAUUGUCUUUUUGAUAUAUGAAAUGCCAUAUGGAUGUAGUGCUACAAUUCUCUUCUAUUCAUCGCAGAUAAAAAAAAUUAUCAUAUAAAACACUGGUGCAGUCUAGUGGAAAGAGAUAAUAUGUUGGAACUGGACUAACUGAAAUGUUUCUUUGAUACUGUUUCACUUGGAAGUUAAGAAUUUUGAUCAUGAAGGAAGUCCAUCUAUCUCCUGAUUAUGAAGAGAUUAUUGGCUAAAAUAUUUCGAUACAUGAAAAGUUUGUUCUCGAACAACAAUAUAUACCCACAAAAGUACCUCUCCUUUCAUUUUAUAUAAAUUGAUCAACUUUACAUACCCUUUUUUUCACUCUGUCAUUUAUAAAAUUGACUUCACAGUAAGAAAAAUCUUAUUUAAUCUAUUUAAUCAUGGAGUUCAAUAAAUCAAACAGUUCUUCCGUGAUAUUUGCUGCUUGAGUUUUCAAGUUCUGCCAUUUAAUCUGAUAAAAAAGGUGGGGGGAAAGAAAAUCGUCGCCUUUCUUUUUUUUUACAACUAGCUAGUCAUUAUACAGAAUUAGCUAAUUAGCAGUGUCUCAUUCUUCAAGACUUCAACGAGAUAGAUAGUAGCUACAUUAUCUUCUUAUUUAACUUCUUAUGAAUCAUAAACCCGUGAAGCAUCCCUCUAUUAAAGGCCAUAUCUUCUUUUUAACUUUUCAAUGGUGAUGUUUAGAAACUUGGCUUUAAAAUGCUAUUCUGAUCAACAUUGUUAUGUGUUGCUUUGAAUUCAUAAUUUUUAUUCCCUUUUUUUUUUCUUCUUUCUGUCUUGGUUAGGUCUGCAAUAUCCUGCAUCUUGUUAUUGUAUGGGUGCUUCUGUACAGUGUGUCAUAUCUGUACUUUGUAAUUUGUAAUCUGAUUGUUAUCUGUUUCACUUUAUUAUAGGAUCUAAAAAUGGGUCACAUGAGAGAUGCAAACUUAGCUAACUUAGCUGCAAUGGAGCAGAGCCGUAUGCUUGCACAGACAUUAGGACAAAAUAGAGACCCGAAAUUUCAGGUAUAUGAAUUCCAGUUUCGGUAUAAAUCAUGCUGGUUAUGGCACUUUUCUUCUAUUAGCUUGCUUUUUAACAUACGAUUGUUCUUUUAAAUUAAUCUACUUCGUCGAUUUUUACAGUCUUUGUUAGGAAAUUCAAACAUCAAUUUGCUUCUAGUUUGUAUUAUGAUAUGAAUGCUGGAUUUUCUUGAUUUAAAUUGUUCAACAGUUUAAUGCUACCUUUGCAUCCAGGGCCUAUAUUUGUCCUACCGGGGAAAAUAUUUGCACAUUUCCAAUAUCUUUCCCUGGAAGCAUAAUCACUAUUUCAAUUAGAAGUUAAAUAGCUUAGAUUGUUUCAUGGCCUAUAGGUCCUCGCCGAUGGUUUCAAACCAUCUCGACACAGUACACUACAACCAAAUUAAAAUACACGAAUAGCAUAACCUAUUUUUUUGAUUUAGUAAUUUAAAUAUGUCUAUGCAUAAUAUUGGAAAAUAUUACUAGAUUAAUAUUACCUAUAUAAGGCAUAUUUGUAAUUUAUUCUGCAAUUAGUCAUAACUUGAUUUUUUUUUUUUUUUUUAGUUUGAGGGAGUAUUGAUUUACCAGUGCUGUGCUUGAUGAAACUAUUUUGUUUUUGAACUAUAUAGAUAUUAUGGCUUGCCAAUGUUCCUCUUGUUGCCUGUUUUUAGUUGAUCAAAAUUCUGGCGAAUUGUCUAAUUUAUCAUGAUCACAAGUAUGUGAAACUAAAAAUAUGUUAAAAUGCAAGAAAGGCAAUGAAGAAAGAGUCUUCCAUUAUAAGGCUGUAGAAAGUCUGAGCUGUCUUACAGCCUAAUACUUCUUGCUAUAGUAUAUUGGAACUAAUAUUAUAGGUCUAGGCCUAAUGCAUGUCAGAAAAAUAUAAGGUGUUUAUGACUCUUCUACCAUGACCUUCUCAUAUAGAUCAUCUCAAAAGCUUGAUACUUAAUGGUGUGUUUAAUUGUCCUUUUACCCCAUUUUGUGGCAUUUUUUUUCUAAAUUUUCUGUCAUAAGUGGCUGAUGUCAUUUUCAUGCUUCACGCUAUGCAAGAAAUCAAAGUUUCUACAGUUUGUUUCAAAGAUGAGCCGUGGUGAGCUUAUAAUUGAUGAGAACCAAAUCAAGCCGGGUACAAACUCUCUUGCUGGUGAUUGGGCUAAUGAGUAUCAAGCGCAGUAUGAUGUUGGCCCAAAGUCUUGGGCAGAUCAAUUUCAACAAGAAGAGGUAAAGUAUAUAUGUAUGUAAUGUAAUGCAGCUAUGUGUUUAUUUUAUCUAUGCUGAAAGUAUAUGUAUACACAUAUAAACUAGACAAGGUAGCUAUAAGACGCCAAACUUGCUAGUGCUUAUUUGCCUUCAGAUCUGCAUCAAGAUCAGUGUGUACAUAUACAUAUUCAGUACACUGGCACACAUCCUGAAAGUCAUGAAUUGAGUUUGCGAAUCUUUGUCUACUGUAAAUUAGUUUUGAGUUAAAAAAAAUGACUUGCGCUAUUGUGUUUUUGAAGUUUGGGUUCUGAGAUAACCUCUUCUUGCAAGCUAACUAUGUAUAACACUAUAUUCUUGUAAUCAGCUUUCACGAGGAACAGAUAACUGGGUGCAUGAGUUCUCUAAGGAACAUCAGCGGCCAGAUGAAAAGUGGGUCGAUGAGUUCUCCAAAUUGAACAUGAAUGACUGGGUGGAAGAAUUUGGUCAGCAGGUCAGUGAAGGAGCUUUUGGGGAAAGCUCUGCUGAUGUGUGGGCAGAUGAUUAUGACAAGUAAGUUUGAUUGUGAACUUCUGGGCAACUACAAAAUGUGCUUAAACAUUUUUUGUUAAACACUUCUUUAUUUCUUAUGCUGGCCUUUGACUUUUAUGUCUUUUCCACCUGAAUUUUAACUUUUCUUAUUUUUGAGAAUUUCCUUCAUCAUGAGUGAUUAAUCACAACCUCGAAUUUUCAUUGAUUGACCAUUAUCUGUGUAAUAAAAUUACCAUAAACAGCACAUCCGCCAAAAUUAAUGGGUGACCCAAAAUUAGGUAAAAGAAAGGGGAAAAAGAAUUGGUGAAAGUUAAAAGUGUUACCAAUCACAAUGACAUAUGAUGAUGGGGUCCCUGUACUUUUCUGGCUUAAUACUAGUGUUCUACUAAAAGUACAUGUGAUUAAGUUUCGAGAACUUCUUUAUGCAUUAAUCUAUUAUUUUAUGUAGAUACCUUGAUGACCAGUUACGGGCAUCCAAGCAGCGGUCUGGUGCUUCAAGAGGGGUUUAUGUAUUCUCUGACAUGAACCCUUAUGUUGGUCAUCCCAAUCCGUUGAAGGAAGGGCAAGAACUCUUCCGGAAAGGACUUCUAAGUGAAGCUGUUCUUGCUCUCGAGGCAGAAGUUCUGAAGAAUCCUGAUAAUGCUGAAGGGUGGAGGUUGCUUGGAAUAACACAUGCAGAAAAUGAUGAUGACCAGCAGGUGACUUGAUGUCUCUCAAACUUUAAUCAUAAGCUUUGUCUAGCUUGGUGCUGAGUUUAUUAUAUUAGUCUACCAUGUGUCUUGUCUCCUGCUUCCUGUCAUCCUGUUUGCCAUUGACAGCAAAAAGCAGGAUGUUAGUUAUGCAUGCUAUGUUCACUUAGCACCCAUAUAGCAUAAAUUAGCACCUAUAUAGCAUAAAUUAGCACCGAUAUAGGAUAAAGUGCUGGUCAAUUGACAUAAUGAUGUAUUCUUCUUCUGAAUAAUAGAGAUUAGAGUGCAGGUUCCACUGUAGGAAAGUUUAUUUUGGGGUUGUGAGAAGUCUUAGUGUUCUAAGGUCGUAUAAGGCUUCUUUAUCUCUUUGAAACAGUUGUGAAUCCCCUGCAAAUUAGAUUAUCUUUAUGAAUUCCCUGCAUGAUGCUUAAGAAGUAACAACAGUGGAUUUGCUUUCAUUUGCUUGAAUUGAUUGUCCUACUAAACACAGAAUCUGAAGAAGAAACUGUUCAAAGUUGGAGUAUUUUGAGUUCCCAACUUUCUUGCUAAUUGCUUCUUAUUGUUUCAGGCUAUUGCAGCUAUGAUGCGAGCCCAAGAAGCUGAUCCGUCAAAUUUGGAAGUUCUUCUUGCUCUUGGUGUUAGUCACACCAAUGGUUAGUUGUUUCUCUCAACUGGUUGAAUUAGUGCUUCAUUUUUUUUAGUUUCUGUAUGUCAAGUAUCUGAUGUUGCAUUCUUUGCCCUGUUAACAUAAUAUUUGCUGAUAAACUAUAUACACUAUGAUAGUUCUAUGUAGAAACAAGAUACUUAAGUUCAACAAAUUUUACAAGAAUAUUAUAUAAUGACUUCUGCUACGUAAGUACCAUGCAUGAAGACUGGUAAUUUUUUGCAUCGACCUUAGAGGUAGAACUUUCCGGUCAAACAAUUGAGCUUUGAAUCUUGAGAUGGGCAGCGUCACCAGAAAUUUGGAGCAGUCAAUUUUGUUGGUAGUAAUAGUCUUCUGUAUUGGAAAUUUUGCUAGUUCUAACUCACAUGAAAGAGGAGUAAUAGGGUGUUUUAAUGUUUAGAAGAACGAAGCUGAAUCUUGUACUUUAUGUGAUUGCAUUUCCUCUUUGCUGUUCGGCUGUAGCAAAUGAAGAUGGCAAAGUUCUCCAUGUCUGAGCAUAGUCAAUCUUUUUUUCCAUGGUGAUACCAUAUAAACUUGCAUUUGCAUUUGGCCGUUGUCGGUGAUGGUGUCUUAUUUUAUUUUAUGGUCAUUUCAACAUGUUUAGUAUUUUUAUUGCAUGUGCACUUGCCUUUCCUGUCAUCCAUAUUGUCCAUAUUGCUCUACUGAUAAAUAAUAUAUCCAUAACAUUAGGGUGGAAUGAUGCUAUGGUUUUCCCUUUUCCUUUUUUUACCGCAGAGUUAGAGCAAGCUGAGGCGUUGAAAUAUCUUUAUCGGUGGCUUCAAAACCAUCCAAAAUAUGGGUCCCUUGCUCCUGUACAGCAGGCAGAUUCUCUGUAUUAUGCUGAUGUAAGUGCCAAAGACAACUGCUUAUGCCCUUUUUUUCUUUUUUGUCAAGUAAGCAUAAAACCUAUCUUUUCUUGUAUACUAUCUUAACACACUAUUCGUCACAACUGAAGAGUUGAUCACUUCAAAUCCUCUGAUUUAAUAGUUUACUACUAGAUAGACAGGUUAAUGUUUUCGACGGACCAGAAAUCAUGCCGUAAGCAAUUUAUUGGGGCACACCCAAGAUUGUGGACAAUUGACCAUACCCUUUUUUUAAAAUUCUUUUGUAGUUUUUACAAAGGUAGAUCUUGAAGGAGCAUUCUAGUUCAUAAGCUUUGGUUUUUAAUGGAAAUUGGUUAAUUUGAAUCAGGUUGCGAGGUUGUUUAAUGAGGCUGCUCAAAUGUCACCAGAGGAUGCUGAUGUCCAUGUAGUGCUUGGCGUCUUAUACAAUCUAUCCAGAGAAUAUGACAAAGCUAUAGCAGCUUUUCAGGAGGCACUAAAGAUCAAACCGCGUGACUACUCUCUCUGGAACAAGCUCGGUGCAACCCAAGCAAACAGCGUUCAGAGUGCUGAUGCAAUAUUGGCGUACCAGCAGGUAAAAAAGACAUUUAUUUUCUCUUUUUCCAUGCAAUGUUGGUUGUCUGUGCUCCUAUUUGAUACUAUGCAUGUAUUGGAGUACUGCAGUGACCCUUUUUUUUCCUUUUAUGGCACUCAGGCUUUAGAUUUGAAGCCCAACUAUGUUCGUGCAUGGGCAAAUAUGGGCAUUAGUUAUGCCAAUCAGGUUUGUUCUUUUCCAAGGCAAUAACUUAUUGUGCUCAUUCUUUUACGACAAAAAAGUUCAUCUACAGUUUGCUUGCUUUCUUUCCUUACAGCUCUCUUUCCGUUUUUGGUGCGCCAGCAUUUGCUAGCUCUAGUAAAGUUUUGGAGUUUCUUUUUUUUUGCCCCCCUGUUUCGCUCUUAUAAACUUUUUUUUUCCUCCUUUUCAGGGUUUAUAUGAAGACUCUAUUCGGUACUAUGUUAGAGCACUUGCUAUGAAUCCUAAAGCAGAAAAUGCUUGGCAGUACCUACGGAUCUCUCUCAGGUACUUAAGUGAGCAUUUCCUCUGUUGUUUAUUUGCAGUCAAUACCAAAGAACAAAAAAGACAAGAAAAUGUAAGCUAUAGACAUGAAAAGUAAAUCUUUCUUAGAUGGAGAAAAUAACAUGCUAUAUUCUCUUUCUUUGAUACAGCUGUGCUUCUCGGAACGACUUGUUUGCAGCUUGUGAUUCACGUAACCUCGAUGUUCUCCAGAAAGAGUUUCCGCUGUGAUUGUUGUACUUUGAAGCAAUAUUCUUGUGUAGGAUCUCCAAUCCGAAAUGGAAGCACCUCAAAAUUAGAUUUUUUUUUUAAAAAAACUGUUAUUAUUAUUUUAUACACACACUAAUGCAUGGUCUUCAUUACCAGAAUUUUUGGUUCUUAAAGAUAAUCUUUCUAAUGAAAAUGAAAAUACUGAAUAAUAACCAAAUCAGAGGCUGGAGUGGCUUUGGAUCAACUAUUAGAAGACUAGGCUUCGCAAGGAGACAUUGUGAACUGCGAUUCAAAAUAACAAAAACAUUCACCUUCUUGAGCCUAGUAAGCUUUCUUUUAAGCAUAAAACUUUGGAUCUUAACAGUGUAACUUAUUGGAAGAUAGAUAAUUAUAGGAAGUGGUAAUGUCAUCAUUGUAUGAAAUGGGCAAACACAAUUCAAGUUCGUUUCUACCAUACACCGGUAUAUACUUCUGUUAGUGCACAAGAUGAAUUUCCAAAUGUAUUGCAGCGGCCGUAUGUUGAAUUCUUAGUUAAAUAGCUGUCAUGCCAUGCUACCGUACAGGCACCACAAUAAAGAACAAUAAUCAAGGUCUGGUUGAUUUUUCUGUAUGAUCAAGGCUUUUUUGUGUGCUAUCUCUAAUACCUGGAACUCCUCCAGUAGACUGCAGUCAUAGAUUCUAUGAGCACCUAAAGUUGAUUGAUUGAUGAUAAGAACGUUCCGUAGAAACGAGGGAGGAUCCAGAGUUUUCCAUAACAAAACGAAAAAAAAAGUGAAAGUCACACACAAACAUUACAAACUACAAGAGACGAUGAAUGACAAAUGGUGAGGCGUAAGUAGGGAUAAUACCAAUCAGAGUAAACAAUCGGUCACUAAUACAAUAUUACAAUCCAUUAAUCAGACUAAGGCAAUCAACUGAUUCAUUCAAAUAUUGAACAUGUAAAGACACCAAUGUAACCCACAGGGGCCACCACUAAAUUAAGGCAUUUUGAAAAAGAAAGGAAACAUGCUUUCACAAACACAGUUUUCGAUGCUGCUGCACGAGUGUAACCUGACGUACCUUUCGAUAGCCAACAGCUUUCUAUUGUCUUAAAUAGUCUUAGGCAAAACUAUUUAGCUCCGCUCUUGUUGCCUCCCGUGUCAAUUGAAUUCAGCCUCGAGAAACAUGAUGAAUUCCUGUCAUGAGGAGAUAAGAAACACCACAGGUUUAUUGCUACAAACACCCUUAACAGGCUCACCGCCUGAACGCAUUACUUUCGGUGGCGGCCAACCCCCCUUGUGAGUAAUAAGCCCGCCGCCGAACACUCUCUUCGAUUGUAGAGCUGCCCCCUUUCUCUGUUCCAAAUAUACUCUUCUGAGCCUCAUCUAAGAAGUUCUUUCCCCUCGACGAGUUUGCUCUCAUUGCCUCUUGCACAUCGGCAUCUGCCGCUUUCUUUAGGCGCUUCCACCUCUGCUCCUCAUGGAGCUCUGCAUCAAGCUGCAUCUCUCGUAGCCGGGCUGCCCUCUCUUCCUCCGUCAUCUUUACAACACCCCGACGAUGCCGAUUAUAGCCAGCUCCCUGAUGUGUGUUAUGUUGGUUUGUUUCCCUUUCUUCAGCCUUCUGUUGUUCACUCUCUCUUCUAUCUUCCACUUUUCCAUCUCUUGAACUGUUGCCUUUUCUAUCUCUUGAAUGGGUGUAAACUUCUGACAAAUUCUUUUCAUACUUCGGGUUACUAUGAUGAUGAUCUGAUGUUGAAUAAUGUCUGGUUCUUCUCUCCUCUUUACCAUCAACUACGUCUCUUGAAUCUGAUCGAUCUCUGCGCGCAUGCUUAUCAUGCUUAACUGACUGAUGGUCCCUUUUUCUUCUCUCCUCGAUGUCCUCUGAAUCUGAUCGAUCUCUGUGCGCAUGCUUAUCAUGAUUGACUAACUGAAGGUCGCUCUUUCUUCUCUCCUUGAUAUCCUCAGAAUCUGGGUAAGUCCUAGAGUGUUUUCCGUGCUUUGAUUUACUAUACUCUCUCUGAGCACUGGAUGGACGAUCUCUCUUUCUUUUCUCUUCCUCACCAUCACUCAUGUCUUCUGAAUCCGAGCGAGCGUUGGAUGGGUACUUGUCGCUCUUUGACUUGUCAUGAUGAUGCUUCCUGUCCCUUUUCUUUUCUCGUUUUUCCUUCUUUUCUUGCUUCUGUUUCUUCUCAACUUCUACCUGUAUAAUAAGAGGUAUGUGUUAGAAAAAUGUGAAUAGCUUCUUUUUUUUAAAUUUGUGAAAUCAGUUUUAAUAUAGCAAACGUAAUAUAAGCCUUUUAAGUUCCAUACAAUUUGUCCCUUGGAUGUCUGGAAGAAAAAAACAUUUACCAUUGCAGUAGCCAUGAGAACACUAAGAUAUUAGUGAAGAAUCUAUUUUGUGCAGAAGAAGUGAUAGUCACUAAACAUGAGCUAAGUAAUAUUUCUAUAGGAACAUAUUUAACCAAAUUCCAACGAGUAGCAGAACAGUUUUUUAGGUUACAAGAUGCUUGGUCAAAAAAGUUAAGAACACUGUUAAAUUCCAUAAAAAUCUAGGUCAUCAAUCAAACUUUUAAACUUCAGUUGAUCAUUUCAAAUGCAUCUCGACAGAGUGUUUAUACAAUUCACUCUAUGAUAUUUUCAGAAUUAUUAAGGUAUAAGUCAAGUUUAUAGGUUAGAAAUCUGUGAUAUUUUAUAGGCGAAAGCAGAAAAAACACAACUUUAAGGACUCGUCUGUUUCACGGUUUGCGAUAAUCCAGCAAUCUUCAAUAUUUUCACCCAUAUUUUCUAUUGAAAACAAUAUGCUAAUCAUUAUCAUUCAACUGAAAUUAUGUUAGAGAAGUAGAAUCAUUGUAGAUUCCUUGAUGGUAAGAACACGAGAUUACCAUUCUCAUGUUCAUACUUGAUGGGAAUCAUUAGCAGUACAUUAAUAAUAAUACUAGUUCUUAACAACUUUCCAACCCAAGUGACUUAAUAAUUUAGUAACAAACUUGCUAUUCCAAAAAGAAAAUAUACAACAUUCUCCGAAUAUUACAAACCAAACAGCACCUAAGUGUAGCAUAUGUUAAGUUCACCUAAAGCAAUGGCAGAGCAUAGUUAUGUAAAACAAUGGGGAUAAAUAAAUAGGACAACUUACAGAUUUCUUUAUCAUCGCCAUCUUGAUGGGGUUGUUCUUUAUCCGGGCGACGGCUUCCUGCUCACGUUGUCGAAUGAGUAGCAAGGGAUCAGAGUGGAGUUUCCUCCACGCAUCAUUUGCCGACUGGGGCUUAUCUUCAAACAAAGCCCCGGGAGCACCUGACUGCGACUGGCAAUGAUAAGAAUAAGUGAUAAGAAGUUUAUUCGCCCAAAUAACGAAUAGAUACUCAAUAGAUAGCAUAAAUAUACAAAAUAUUAAUCAAACCAGGAAGCUAGUCAAACAAGCCUCAACUUUGAUGGGCUGAGUCGCUAAGAUCACAACCACCAAAAUAUAAGGGUUUAUAUCUAUGUAACUCGGUCGUUCGUCAUGAGUAAUCAAUGAAAGCAUUCAAUUUCUUAAACAUCAAGAAUUAAUAUUACAACUAUUGUGCUAAUUAAAUUAAAGCUCAAACUGUAACAAGAAAAUCUUUCAACAAAUCGGACCUCGGGGGCUAUUCCUCUAUCUCAGAACCUGGCCCUCCAUUUUUUUUCAGGAAACUCGAAAACCAGAAAUCACGGACGACUUCAGAAGUGGAAGAGAGCAAAGACCCGCGAGGCGGUAGAUAAAAGAAUCAAAAGACCUUGCCAAUACCAAGCGAUAAAAGCUUUGCAUCCGAGCAGUUCAACAUGAUCUACGGAUAUUUGGACGACUACUGAUCUAGAUAAAGGAUUAGAACGAGGGCUUCUGCAUAAUUCUCGUAAAAUCUAAAGCAGCAAACAAGUUACAAACUACAAUUACGAAUCUGACAGAUAAGAAAGGUUACCUUGGAGGAGCUAGCCUCGGCGGCGGGCGCCGGAGGAGGAGGAGCAGCCGCAGGCUGCAGCGCCUUGAAUCCAUCGGAGCUCCCUUUACCCACGCCCAAACCCGACUCGUAGAGGAAAUCCAACCGCUCCUGCUUCCUGCACGGAUCAAUCGAGAAGAAGAACAGGUCAAUUUAGCAAAAGACCGUAGGAGGUCCGAAAGGAGGGAAACCCUAACCCUAACCCUAACCCUAAAAUCUGAGGUGAGGAAGCUUACGGGACGAGUCCGGCUUGCUCCUGGAGGAGGCGGAACUCGGAUCGCUCGCGCUCGUCCUGGAUCUGCUUGCGGAGCUCCUCGAGCUUGCGCUGCUCGGCCUCGUGCUUCUGCUCCGCCUUCCACACGUUCUCGAUGUUGCGGAGGCUCCCCGUGUGCCAUCCCUUCUUGUUCAGAAACUUCAGAGCCAUGUCCUCUCCCUCUCCCUCUCCCUCUCCCUACACCUUCGUCGGGACCGGCGGAAAAGAAAAUGAGUGAAAAUUCUUUUUUUUUUAAAAAAAAUGUCGGAAGAAGAAGUAGAGGGGAAAGGAGAAGACGAGGGAGGGGAGCGCGAGAGGUGUCGCGCGACCUGUAAGACGAUGAGAAACGAGAUGGUAAGUUAACAAGUUAUAUGUUUCGCUUCGUUACGGUCACCGCACCAUUCGCACGAGUCGGAGACUCGGAACCAGUUUAAUUAGUUAGCUCGUCUUGAUGAUAUGAUAUGUCGGUUCACUCGUUCACUUGCCAAGGAAAAUCCGGAUUGGCCCAUCCCGGCCAUCUCAGCCCGGCCCAAUAGCGGUGUAUUAACGGAUGGGAUUACCACGAUAACUAACUAAUUAGGACAAAACUGGCUAAUUAAUACGAGUCUUACUUCAGUAUCAUCAUCAUUAGGAUCCAAGUUAUCUCCAUUAUAUUAACCAAGUCAUACGAUUUUACCAAAACGGGUAACGAUGAAUCUACCUAUAUUUAUCACAACAAAGUUAGUAUGGACGAAGCUAUAGUAGUUUCGAGGAAGUGGCAAAAAACUUGGCCGUUGGUACCUGAGGUUUCAAGUUCGAAUCUUAGUGUGCUACCUAUCUCUCUCAAAAAAAAAAAAAAAAAAAGUUUCGAGGAACGCCAGCGAACAACAUCAAAUAGUAUAAACUUGCAUCACCGCAACAAAUAAAAUCCUCCAAUCACGUGAAUUUUGUAAUUCCUGCUAUUCACGGGAUAAAAGUCGUCGUGAAAACAUGCAGAAGAUAUAUUAUUAAAAAAGAAAAAAAGAAAAAAAAAGAAAGAGAAUGAAAAAUCUAACAUACCAGUAAGAAUCUCUGUUAGAUUAAGUACAGGAGAUGGUUCCAUAAAAGUCAGGAGACGGGGGAUGAUUCACAGGCUUCUUUCAGAACAAAAACUUUAUACAGACUAAAGAAGCCUGUGAAAUUACAACCUACUGAAAGCACAUAGGUAGUAAUGAGAGCAGGAGAGUGCCCGAGACAAAUCUGAAUUCCUCCGAGCAUAAUUCAAAAUUUUACAAGAUUUCCCCCUAAAAUCCGGUCUUCUAAUUUACUUAAAUAGAAAGAAUGACCGUGUUUCCAACUUUCGCCCCUCCAUGCCUGCAGCUUGGCUUCUUGCUACAGCCAUUUCCUCCAGCUGGUAGACCUUUUAUCACCAGAUAAGAAUCGGGGAAGAUUCAAAAGGGAAUUAACCCUGGUAACACCUUCUAGGGCAGACCAUUCCUCUUCCUCUGCAGUGGAUAUGCAAUCCGCGAGCCUCCUCGGAGAUUGACUCCUCCCCGGCAUUUUCUCUACCUUGGUUCCUUCCUCAUUUACCGGUACAAUCUCGUCAUAAUCAUGUAGAGUGUACGAAUGUUGUAACGUGGAUGAUUUUACAUGUGCUUCGAUACUAAUGGGCCCUGGUGUUUCUUCCUGAUUUAAAUCUACUAUAUUAGAAGAAUCGGCGAUCAUUAUUUCCACCGAUUCCACAGAUGUCUUCUUUGGUUCAGUUUGCAGAGUUUGGUUGGCUGAGGAUUUGGUGUCCAAGAACAAGCAGACAACAGCACAGUCGUCGCUCUUUGAUGUUGGGAAUUUUAGUCUCCAUGAUCGAACAGCGCAAUCGACAAGAGCCCUAGCUGCAGUCGCACGAGAUGGGGCCGAUGCCACAAUAUCAACAGCUUCCUUGUUAGAGAGGACAUCCCAAACCUACAAAAAAAGAAAAGGAAAUUGGCAAAGGAAAAAAAAAUGUCUGCAUAUUCAUCUGUGUACGUAUGCAUGUAUGUAUUUAUUCUAGUCCAACAUUUGUUAUGCCGCCUGUGGAUAGCCUUGCAAAAGCUUGUGAAAUGGAAAAGACUCUUAACCAUAUAGAGGAAAAUGUAUAAAACAAACCAUCUUUUCCCAAAAUCCAACCUAUAAUAAAGUUGAAAAAGUUGACGAAAUACAAGUUCAAUAAAGUUUGGAUCAAGGAUUUAAGUGUCCAUCAGCACGGCCGUAUCUACCGUGCCGUAUCGUGCCAACAAGACAUUAGCACGACACAACUCCCGUACCGAUGGCACAGUUCAAAACUUUCUAUUUUUUCAAAUAAGUAAUUUUCUCAAUCAAGUUCAAAAUAUUUGAUAAAGAUACAAAAUAAAUUGUUUGAGUAUUUUGUUGCUAAAGAAAAUAAAUAUUUCAUGUCAUUACGUAUCAGCACACAAGUAUUUUUUGUGACUGACAUGCAUCGGUACGACUUGACACAUACUGUGCCGUAUCGUGGCGGCAAGUUUCAGCACGACCCUGUGCCACAGCACUUAAAUCCAUGGUUUGGAUAGUACACAGAUAUAUUGUUAUCAAGCUAAAAACAUGUAAGAGGACAGCAAUAGGCUUCACCUUCCGGCAGAAAUAGAUCACUUAAAAUUAUAUAAAAUAGCCAGCCAAACUAUCAAAAAAGCCUCAAGUAUUCUGAUCCCAUGCAUAUUAUGAGUUGUUAUUUGCUAAUACACUGAAAAUAUAUAGUAGGAGCUAUUGACAUUUUCCACGCUUUUAAAACAACAGUAAAAAAAAUUGGUUCUGGGAGAAGAAGAUACCCCAUCAGUAGCAAGAAUGAUGAACUCAUCUUUAUUGGUAAGGCGCCGAUAGGAUAUAUCCGGAACGGAUAUUAAGCCAUAGUCCUUGAGGCAAAAGUCCCCAAAAGCUCUGGCCAUUGCUAACCCAGGUGAGUCAUUGUUUGGCAACCAUAUAUAUAUAUAUAUAUAUAUAUAUAUAUAUAUAUAUAUAUAUAUAUAUAUCCCUGGAAAAUCAUCUAUUAGACAAAUCACCAGUAAAAUAUUGAUUUCAUAUAUAUACCCAUCAGUGAUUUACGUUCUCAUAUAUAUAAUACCCAUAUAUUUGUUUAGGGAGUCAUCCAAUUCAUUGAGGGAAGUUCUUUUUUUGCCUUUUUUUUUUUCCAUAAGACGGUUUUUUUAAAGAGCAGUGUUUUGGUAGCAAUGUGUGAGAUAUAAAUUUCUGAAGGGUAUUUUUUUAAAAAAGAAGUUUCUGUACUGAAUAAUCAAAACUAUUUAAAUUUAAUUUUCUCCAGUUAUAUGGCAUAUCUGCCAAUUGAUAUCUCAAGACUAAAUUAUGGAGAUAGGAGGUACUUAAGAAUUAACUGCAAAGUAGAAAAACAGAGUCAAAUUGCUAGCGAAGGAAAAGCCUAUUAUGCAUCAACUUCCUACUUGUUCUACAGCGAAAGUACAUGAACAUACUAGGAAGGUUGGGCUUCAAAUCGACAGUCAGCUGUACAGCAAUUAAAUUCUUUUCGUUAUCUCGUGUAGCCAGUAUUGCUCUUGAGUCUCCGAGAUUCCCAAUUACAAGAUCUAGUCCCUGGAGAAAUGCAAAUUGCGCAAAGUUGUUAAAGCCUGCAAAGUGGCGGAGAAAGAAACCAAGACUCAAAAGCUUCUCAUUUUAUUUCAGCCAAGUUGACUUCAUUUACUAAUGUUUAUGCAACAAACUUUUUGCGGAGAUCGUUAGCAUAAUCCAAGUCUUUUGCAACAAAUUGGGCCAUUUGAGCACAACUCAUGUAUGAGAAGGCUCAAACCUUCAGUUCCUCAAAAUAGCAAAAUAAAGAGAAAAACCUGCCACGAAAGCUAUAGUACAACUGGCAUGUAGAAUAAUCUAUUUUCUUGGCUAUAAUCUGUAAUCAUGUAAACCCAAGACCACAGAAAUAGUAGUCUAUUGCGUGUGUACGCCAAUCCCAACUUAGGAACCAAGAACUUUUUGUACACUGGCAGAAUAAAAGAAUUAAAAGAAUAGAAAACUCCGCAACUUAUCACCUGCUUUAUCACUGUAACAGCUGUAGUCCCACUGCAGAAGCAAUCGAUUGUUGGGUGAAGCUUUAGCUCUUUAUCCAUUAACUUGAAAGCUUUUAAAAAGGACUGUUUAAGUGGCAAAUACAUCUCGGGGAUCUUUUCGUUCUCAUCACAACAUAACGAUUCACUCCAUUCCUCAUCAACACUAACGGAUGCUGUCUCUUCAAAAUUCAUGCCCCCAGAAAUGCUAUUAUUUUGGCAUGGGCUAUCAUUGCCGUUAAUACUAGCUCUCCACAGAGUGAAUAGCUUGAGAGGAAGAGAAUCUCUAACUUUCCUGGCAACCAUAUGGCCGAAUGGCCCAUGACCGUCAAAUACUCCACAGAAGAUGGUGUCACUUCUUAAUACGAAAUUCUGCAGUCACACAAAUACAACAAGAAUUAACUAUGCUAAAAGUUUACAAACUAAAAGAAUACAUUUUGGAAAAUGCAGGUAAAUAAAGUUGACUGUAGAGUUAAAAAAUAAUUGAAUAUGCGCACCAUAGCCUAAGAAAAAGUUUCCUACCAAGAAUAACCCUAAAUGCCUGUAUUGGCACAUAUACCUCCCUAAAGUCAGUACCUGCAUCAAUGUAUCUGCAUCAUUUGGUAUUUCCACAAAAGUUUUCUAUUCAACCUCCAGCAGAGGAAAAAAAAAAAAAAACUUACUGCAUGGGCAAAAGUUUAAUUUUCCUUCGUCUUGUCAGAAAUGGAGAAAAACUGGCUAGAGUGAAUUGUCAGCUGUUUUUUCUAGUGAAUUUUGACUUGCGGAAUUUCAGGUUAUAAUUGUCUUUUGCUUGUCAAGGGUCAGAUGCAAACAUUUGAGAGGACAAGCAGACAGAAGGGCGUUAAUACAAAUACACCAGCUCAAAAAUAAUUUUUCGGGGUAAAAGCAUUAAUGAGUGUUUAAAGAGGUAUACAUGGAAAAAAAGAAAAAAAAUCAGCAAUGAAUUACCUAAGGAAACUAUAUCCUCAAAAUGCCAGCAGGCCUAAAAUAAGAAGAAAAGGAUAUCAUCAUCAUCAUCAUCAUUCGAGCCAUUUAUAAAUAGUGUGAAUCAGCUACAGCACAAAAAGAUGUAACGACUUCAACUAGUUUAAUAAGUUCUCAAGAUUGGUUGUCAACCUACCAUUUGACGUUCUAGAAAUUGAUACUAAAUUCUUGAAGGGAAAUCAGAAACUAGAGGGAUUUGCGAGGAUAGUUGUAUAAAGAAAUUCACUCGGAUAAAUAUAUAUGUAUGCAUAAACAAAUAUUCAUACACAAAUGAAUAUUAAGUGCAUAUGUGAAACAUAAACACAGCAAUAGAUAUUAAUUGUAUGCAUAGGCUAGAGAGGUGGGAAGGAGAGAUGGCAAAUUCUAAGGCAUUUUGUUUAUGCUUCAACUUUAUGGAUCCACUUUGGUGGGACUCUAACAGAGUGAUGAAUUUUUCCUCGAUUUCCAUAUUCUCUGUGAUAUUUAUAUGGAUCCAGGAAAUUUUACGAACUAUUAUGUAUAUCCCAGAAUUUUUCAACAAACAACAAGUACACCAAAUUAUUUGUUUUAUAAGAACAUGUUAGUUGGAUGUUGUCACACAUUCCAUGCCCACAUUACUUUGAAGUAAAUCGAUUGGUGUCUAAAAUGAUUCUGCAAUUGACACAAUAUCUUUUCCUUAUUAUUACAUAUGAAUUUAGUAAUUAAUCCAACAACAAAAGUUCAACCAUAUGAGUUCUUAGAUUACACAUAAAUGUUAAACAUAUUCAUACCAUUCUCACUUGCUUAAAUCCAAGAAGCACAUAUAAAUCAAACAAACCAAACGAGUGACUAAAUAUUAGCUAUGCGAAAACAACAAUAAUGGCAAAAGGUGUCCUAAAACAUCUUUCCACUCAAAUCAGAACGAAACAACCAAUGCGAUUCUUCCAUUGUUCCUCUAAAAAUGUUAUGAAACUUAAAAAAGAAAGAUUUAAAACAUUAAACCUAAAUCAAACCCUCUUAAUACAAAAACAAAACGCACUACUUAAAACAAAGUAUUAAUAAACUCGUAGAUUAGUUCAUAAACCAGUACCUCCCACACGAUCAUGGCGUCCUGAUUCGUCCCCUUCUUCCCCUGCUGCGUAUAGAGGGAAGCGACCUCGCUCGCCCCGUUCAGGAACAUCCGCCCCGGCACGCGGCGGAGCUCCUCCUCCGCCAACUCCCCUCCGCCGCUGCCUCCCGCCGCCGCCCCUCGCCGGUCGAACAACGCCCCUCCGCCACCGCCUCCGCCGCUCCCGCUCUCCGUCUUCUCCUUCGUCUUCCACCUCUCAGACCAUCUCCUGGACACUCCUCCGCCGCCCCCCGCGGCGGCGCCCCCGAGCGAAGCUCCCUCCGCCGCCGAGGGCGACGAUAAGCACAACCCCAUGGGAGGAGAGAGAGAGAGAGGGGGCGAGAUAGAGAGAGAGAGAGAGAGAGAGAUGGGGAGAUUAGGGCGGAUGAGCGAGAGAGUGCAGGGGUGGGCCAAUAGGGUUUAUGGCUUCGAAAACGACGGGUUUCCAUUUUUAUACGUAAUAAUAAUAAUAAUAAUAAUGAUGAUUAAUUAUACGUAAUUGCUAUUUUAUGCAAUAUAAAAAUAUUAAAAACUAUUUAAUAAUUAUUUUAUGCAACAGUAAAAGUAUUAGAUUUUUCAGUUUGGUGAAAAAUAUUAAAUUACAAAUAUUUGCAAACUAUAUUCUUUUCUUUACUUCAUCUAACGUUGUUUCUUAUGUUCUUUUUGGCAUAACUUGUCCUGGUGCCUAAUGGUGCGCCUAGGGGGUGAUUAGAAAAUAUUUCCUAGUUUUGUCCUUUAUUUGCAAAAGAGGCGUAGGUUAGCUUUAUAAUUCUUUAUUUAAUAGCUUAAUAUAAGUUCUAAUGCUCCUCCUCCGGUUGACCGGGCGAUUUUUCUAGAAGUCUUUCCUUGCAUUUACGUCCCUAUAAAACAUUUUAUUUAUAUAUACACUCUGGAAUGCCUUUCUUUGACUUUAAUUUUGGUCUUCUCGUGGACUUGUUCCACUUGUUCUCUAGGAUCAUCUCCUUUUGGUUUGGAUAGUUUAGAUUUAAUGUUUGAGCAUUUUUCUUUUUUCUUUUUUGUAUUAGAGUCCCUUUGGUUCAAUGUAAAACUGUAAAAUAUAAUUUAUCGAGAAAAAAAUUUUUGGUGGAAAUUUUUUUUACAUUUGAUAGUAUUUGAUUUGUAGAGAAAAAAAUCCCCAUUAAUAUUUGUUUAAUUGAAAGGAAAAAAUAUAUAUCUAUUUGGUUUGAUUGAAAGCAAUGAACGUAAAAAAAAUUUACGCGACUUAAAUUUUCGUUUUUCGUUGAAAAACAGCGAAAAAUAAAAAUUUUAAUUUUUUUUCAAAUUCGUAAAAAUACUUUUAUAAACAAAUAUUUUUACAUCGAACUAAAUAAACAAAAAAAGUAUCUUUCAUAAGAAAUAAAAACCAAGCACUUUUUAGGAAUUAAGUCAUAAGAAAUAAUUAAAACAUAAUCGACACGAAAGAUAUUUUUAUAUUUCUUUACGAAAGAGACUAUCUGAUCAGUUUGAAGCUCUAAAAAUUCAUUCAUGAUUAAAAUCUUUGUUCUUUCUACAUUAUAUAAAAGUUUAGGAACUAUUUUGCCUCUCACUUGACCCAAAAACUCUUCAUAUUUAUUAAACACUUAAUCUCCUUAUUUUUUCCUUUUCAUUUAGAUAUAAAAGUUUCAUCCUAUUUCACUUUCAUUUUAUUUCCAAACUUCUGAUUUCUGUACCCUUUAUAUGUUUUAUUAAGGAGGUUUUGAAAUAGUUUUAUUUUUUUCUUUUGAGGACAAAUAGUUUGAUUAUUGUUAUGUAUUAUAUAUAUAUUUGAGUCGUGUUCAUGUCAACCUUUUCUCUUUUAGUAUCCGUUUAUUGAGCCCAACCUAACUAAUAUUAUCUCAUUAUACAUUAUUUAUUUAUUUUUUUAUGUGUAAGGAAACUAACUAGUCUUAUCUCUUUCCACAUGACGAUCUCUUCUUUUUUUUAUUCUCGAAAACUCUCAUUUUAAAAUUAUAACCAAAUUACAUAAAGUAAUAGGAUGAUGAUGUUUUCAAUUAUUAUUAUCAAAAAGAUUUCUGAGACCACGUGCUUUGACCAUAUAUACAAUUGGUUUUUAUUUUUUUUUGUGUUAUAACAAUCCAAUCCGUUAGCAAUAAUAAAUCGUCGGGUUCAAACUGUCGAUCCAAUUCGCUAGCAAUAAUAACUCGUUGGGUUCAACUUAUCAGUCCAAAAUACUUAAGUUAAAUAUAAAUUACCGGUUCAAAAUAGUAAGCACAGUUAUUAUUACUGGCAUGUAAUGUUGAGACUAUUGGGGUGUUAGAUUCCUAAUUUAAGUGUAGUACUUUGCUCUCACAUUUUCGACUGGUAUUUGUUUCUAAUAUCAAUUAUAAUAAUUUCACCCGUUAGUAAUAAUAACUCGUUGGGUUUAAACUAUCCGUUCAUAAUAUUUAACUUCGGCAAUUACUAAUAACGUGUAGGUUUCAUAUAUCCUAAUCAGAAUCAAAAUUUCAGCAGAUGCGUGACUACUG
rnacentral:lncRNA from 1 species